rnacentral:misc_RNA from 1 species
AGCAGCCGCGGUAAUUCCAGCUCCAAUAGCGUAUAUUAAAGUUGUUGCAGUUAAAAAGCUCGUAGUUGAACUUCGGGGUUUACCCAUUGGUCAGGCUUAAUUGUCUGUACUGGUGAGAUGAAUCUCUACCUUCUGAGGAACUUUCAUGCCAUUUAUUUGGUGUGAUGGGAAAUCAGGGCUGUUACUUUGAAAAAAUUAGAGUGUUUAAAGCAGGCUAACGUCUGAAUACAUUAGCAUGGAAUAAUGAAAUAGGACGGACUGAUUCUAUUUCGUUGGUUUCUAGGAUCACCGUAAUGAUUAAUAGGGAUAGUUGGGGGCAUUAGUAUUCAAUUGUCAGAGGUGAAAUUCUUGGAUUUAUUGAAGACUAACUACUGCGAAAGCAUUUGCCAAGGAUGUUUUCAUUAAUCAAGAACGAAAGUUAGGGGAUCGAAGACGAUCAGAUACCGUCGUAGUCUUAACCAUAAACUAUGCCGACUAGGGAUCGGACGAAGUUAAUUUUAUAAUGACGCGUUCGGCACCU